rnacentral:misc_RNA from 1 species
AACGCACAUUGCGCCCUUUGGUAUUCCGAGGGGCAUGCCCGUUCGAGCGUCAUUUCACCACUCAAGCAUGGCUUAGUGUUGGGCCGCGGGGCGACCCGGGCCUCAAUGUUUUCGGCCGGAUGACCCGGAUCUCAGCGUUGUGUCAUCAAAUUCGCUGGCGAGAAGGGCGUUCGCGCUGUCGAAUCUUAAUUAAAAGGUUGACCUCGGAUCGGGUAAGGAUACCCGCUGAACUUAA